UGGGGAAUAUUGCGCAAUGGGGGAAACCCUGACGCAGCAACGCCGCGUGAAGGAAGAAGGUUUUCGGAUCGUAAACUUCUUUGAUGAGGGACGAAUAAAUGACGGUACCUCAAAAACAAGCCACGGCUAACUACGUGCCAGCAGCCGCGGUAAUACGUAGGUGGCGAGCGUUGUCCGGAAUUACUGGGUGUAAAGGGCGCGUAGGCGGGGAUGCAAGUCAGAUGUGAAAUACUGAGGCUUAACCUCAGGGCUGCAACUGAAACUGCGUUUCUUGAGUGUCGGAGAGGAAAGUGGAAUUCCUAGUGUAGCGGUGAAAUGCGUAGAUAUUAGGAGGAACACCAGUGGCGAAGGCGACUUUCUGGACGAUAACUGACGCUGAGGCGCGAAAGCGUGGGGAGCAAACAGG
rnacentral:rRNA from 1 species